UGUGUUGUGUAUGGUUUCAGGCUGACAUAAAGACGGCUGUGUCCAUAGGACUUGAAGAGAAGCUGAGUCAUGAACUUGAUCAAGUCAGGGAACCCAUGGACCCUUAUGGCUUUUGAAAGAUGUCUCAGUGGGGGGGUUAAAACAUCAAAGAGUUCAUGUGAAGAAGUCUUAAAGUCGGUCCUUUAUCCUACAAAGAAAGGUGGUGCACUUCACAGGUCACUGAAGUGUGGAGUUGAGAAUGGUGGCAUCCACAAACCAAGAGAAGGGGAAUGAAGAAACAUCAACAUGAAGCUAACUUCAUGUUUGACUGACAGCAUUGAGGAGGAAUUGAAGAAGACCUUCCCAAAUGAAGGAGAAAGAGAACCAUUCAACGGGGUCAUCAAUACAUUUCCACUUGGCACAGAGGAGGAGAUGAGGAAGAAGGAGUGCGGAAAUGUCAAACUGCAGCUGACAUUUCUCAAGAGGAAGAAAAGAUGAAAACAAACCUCAAGAAACUCCUCCGUGAGCGUAAGAGAAGGAUCUCCAGCAGCCUGACAACAACAAUGGAGGAGACCAUGAAAGAAUGCUCUGACAGGAAGACAGAAGAUCACUACAGACAUAGAAAUACACCUCUACACAUUUUGAUGUCAACAUGUUUCUGUUUGAUGUAGGAGCAAAAGAAAUGAAAGGAGAAGGCACGCUGAAAAACAUGAGGGGAACGAUUGAAAUGCACGUUCAUGGUUCAAAAGACGUCAUGUUUGAUAAGGCUGAAGACGCCAUGAUGAAACAGCUGAGAGACCUGAUGCUUUGUCACAUUUGAUAUUUCCUCCUGCAGUCAAAUGAAACUAGGAACACUGCAACACAAACAUACAUGUGCACACAUGUCAGUGUUCAGUGAUCAAUAUUUCAAUGUUGAUUUAGUGGGAGA